rnacentral:lncRNA from 1 species
AAAACUUGGUCAUUUUCAAAGCCCUCUGCCAUGCACAAACAAUAUCAAUGACUGGAAGUAAACACUCGGUUUCAUAUUCAAGGCCCUCAACCAUCCAUAAACAAUAUAAGGUAAAUGAAAUGCGUAAUGAACAAUAUAAGGUAAAUGAAAUGCGUAUUGAAUUACAAGCACAAGAACCUAAAUAAGCAGAGAUUGGAAGAGAUACCAAGCAAUCAACAACUUUGGCAAUAUAAAUGAAUUUUCACACUCAUAUAGAUAAUUAAGACAGAGGUCGCACUUGGUGCGAUGGCAAGUGCCUUCGCCCAUGAACGGUAGGUCUCGGGUUCGAGACUUGGAAGCAGCCUCUCCAUAAAAUGGGGGUAAGGCUAGCCGACAUUCAUCUUUCCCAGACCCUGCGUAAAGCGGGAGCCUUGUGCACCGAGUACCACCUUUAUAUAGAUAAUUAAGACAAAGGCCUGAGUGAAAUAGAAGCAACACCGAGUCCAGUACCUUAAUUUAACAACUGCCAAUAUUUAAUUACGAAGCUAA